GAUGAACGCUGGCGGCGUGCUUAACACAUGCCAGUCGAACGAAGCACUUUAUUUGAUUUCCUUCGGGACUGAUUAUUUUGUGACUGAGUGGCGGACGGGUGAGUAACGCGUGGGUAACCUGCCUUGUACAGGGGGAUAACAGUUGGAAACGGCUGCUAAUACCGCAUAAGCGCACGGCAUCGCAUGAUGCAGUGUGAAAAACUCCGGUGGUAUAAGAUGGACCCGCGUUGGAUUAGCUAGUUGGUGAGGUAACGGCCCACCAAGGCGACGAUCCAUAGCCGACCUGAGAGGGUGACCGGCCACAUUGGGACUGAGACACGGCCCAAACUCCUACGGGAGGCAGCAGUGGGGAAUAUUGCACAAUGGGCGAAAGCCUGAUGCAGCGACGCCGCGGGAGCGAAGAAGUAUUUCGGUAUGUAAAGCUCUAUCAGCAGAGAAGAUAAUGACGGUACCUGACUAAGAAGCACCGGCUAAAUACGU
rnacentral:rRNA from 1 species